AUUUACAUGUAGAUCAGCGUCAACCUGCUUCAUAUACACCAGUGGUAGAAUUGUGUUCAGGGCAAUCGGGACGAUGCUUCUAUCCUACAUAUUUGCUUACACUAUUGGCCUAUGUUUUCUCUUCAUUGGCGCGGGAUUGAUAAUGUUCCAUAUUAACUCUGAGCGCAAUAGCAGCCUACCUCUUGUUUUGGGCUUGAGCUGUCUAGUUCUCGGAAGCGUGGUAUUUGUCGGUGGGGCAAUUGGCAUGAAGCAUGAAGCUUACAAGACGGCGGUCAUCUAACAACAGGCAAUACUCUCCUCCUUUCUGGAGCAAGUGCAAUGUGGAGAUGUGUGUACCACACAGCCGUCAUCUAGAACAGGUUUUCGGAGUGGAAGGUUGGAGGUCAUUCAAUCGUGAAUUAAGAAGUAUUUGUGUCAAGGCAGUCCGCAGGAAUUGCACGCUAAAGCCGUCUGAGCAGCCGCCUUCUCCACUGGACCGUUGCAGCAAUAUGUUCUUUUCUUUGUUCUUUUCCUUAUUUGAAAGUCGAAUUUGCUGCAUCCGUCGACCUUGAACAAGCGUUAGUCUCUGUAACGCGAGCUAGUCUGGCUGUUUUUGUACUCAACAAGCGAUGAACUACAACACUCUAUACGUACAUGUACCUACUAAAACAUAUAGCUUCCAUUAUACUAUUUGCACGACCUUUGCUAUCAUCAACAACAGGAUAUAUCGCCCGCCAUCAUGUGCUUGCUUUCUAGGAACCAUGAGGCACCACAUUGCGACUAACGCUUCAAAAUCCUUUCUCCGGCAUUUCUACACUGUGUACAUGUAUUCUGGAAUGGCCAAUGACAUGUACAUGUAUA